AUCCUUCUAGUACAAACAGUACAUGUGACUUCCAAUCACUUAAUCUUGGUUAAAAUCCAAGGAAAGAUA
rnacentral:tRNA from 1 species